UACGGGGGGGGCAAGCGUUGUUCGGAAUUACUGGGCGUAAAGGGCUCGUAGGUGGCCAACUAAGUCGGACGUGAAAUCCCUCGGCUUAACCGGGGAACUGCGUCUGAUACUGGAUGGCUUGAGUUCGGGAGAGGGAUGCGGAAUUCCAGGUGUAGCGGUGAAAUGCGUAGAUAUCUGGAGGAACACCGGCGGCGAAGGCGACAUCCUGGACCGACACUGACGCUGAGGAGCGAAAGCCAGGGGAGCAAACGGG
rnacentral:rRNA from 1 species